rnacentral:rRNA from 1 species
GACGAACGCUGGCGGCAUGCCUAACACAUGCAAGUCGAACGAAGCCUUCGGGCUUAGUGGCGCACGGGUGCGUAACGCGUGGGAAUCUGCCCUUGGGUUCGGAAUAACAGUUAGAAAUGACUGCUAAUACCGGAUGAUGUCUUCGGACCAAAGAUUUAUCGCCCAAGGAUGAGCCCGCGUAGGAUUAGGUAGUUGGUGGGGUAAUGGCCCACCAAGCCGACGAUCCUUAGCUGGUCCGAGAGGAUGAUCAGCCACACUGGGACUGAGACACGGCCCAGACUCCUACGGGAGGCAGCAGUGGGGAAUAUUGGACAAUGGGCGAAAGCCUGAUCCAGCAAUGCCGCGUGAGUGAUGAAGGCCUUAGGGUUGUAAAGCUCCUUUACCAGGGAUGAUAAUGACAGUACCUGGAGAAUAAGCUCCGGCUAACUCCGUGCCAGCCGCCGCGGUAACAC